rnacentral:rRNA from 1 species
UACGUAGGGGGCAAGCGUUGUCCGGAAUCAUUGGGCGUAAAGCGCGCGUAGGCGGCCCGGUAAGUCCGUUGUGAAAGUCAAAGGCUCAACCUUUGAACGCCGAUGGAUACUGCCGGGCUAGAGUCCGGAAGAGGCGAGUGGAAUUCCUGGUGUAGCGGUGGAAUGCGCAGAUAUCAGGAGGAACACCAAUAGCGAAGGCAGCUCGCUGGGACGGUACUGACGCUGAGGCGCGAAAGCGUGGGGAGGCGAACAGG